rnacentral:rRNA from 1 species
UACGUAGGGUCCGAGCGUUGUCCGGAAUUAUUGGGCGUAAAGAGCUCGUAGGCGGCCUGUCGCGUCGGAUGUGAAAGCCCGGGGCUUAACCCCGGGUCUGCAUUCGAUACGGGCAGGCUAGAGUUCGGUAGGGGAGAUCGGAAUUCCUGGUGUAGCGGUGGAAAUGACGCAGAUAUCAGGAGGAACACCGGUGGCGAAGGCGGAUCUCUGGGCCGAUACUGACGCUGAGGAGCGAAAGCGUGGGGAGCGAACAGG